rnacentral:tRNA from 1 species
GCAUACUUAGCUCAAUGGACAGAGCAUCACUCAUGAAUGCUGAGGUUGUGGGUUUGAGUCCCACAGUACACA